rnacentral:lncRNA from 1 species
GUUAGGUCUAAUUUCUGGAGGGUUGGACUUUGAGAACUGGCUGAUAAGAUUGGCCAUUUGUCCUUAGGCAAUGGAGAGCAAGGAAAGAUUUAUGGAGCAGAAAGUUAUAUGAUCCACAUGUGCUUUGGAAGAAGUUUGCCUGUAUUGGAAAGGAUAGAGUCUUGUGGAAAGGAGUUUAGGUAGAAGAUUUUGGUUACAGAAUCACGAAGAUCCGACAACUGAUUAAAUGUGGAUGGGGGACAAGGCGGGGAAGAUGAAGUCAAAGAGGCAUCUGAAGGCAACUUCAUGUACUGCUUGUGAUGCAUGACUCCCGACACACAGACCGAGUGAAGGAGCCAACAUCGAUUCAUGUGCUUGAACUUCUUAGGAUGGAGACCCUGGGUCCUUC